UUGAGAGAAGUAUUACAUAGAGGCGAUUUCUUAUAAGAAGUAUCAGGAACUUUGCCUCUGCGACGGCAGAGAUAUUGGUGUUUCUUAGAUCACAGCUUCAAAACUAAGAUAUAUACCGACGGGUGUAUAUAUAGAGAGAGAGAGAUAAUAACGGUAAAAAUAUUUGCUAACGGAAAGAGUCCGGUUCGAGCAAUAAAUAAGUAAAGAGAGUACUUAUUAAGAAGCGCGAGCGGCGCAGGAUUAUUAUCAAGUGGCAUGCCCCAUUGACUCAUUCCAUCAUAUCAGCGGUACAUGAUACAUUUGGCAAAUUAAAGCCACAAGUAAAUUUUACUGAGAUAAAUAAUAAUAAUAAUAAUAAUAAUAAUUACGGGUGAGGCACCUGGGAACAGAAGAGGUGACAUCAGACACCCAAACUAUCAGUUAGCUCACAAAGAACAGGAGUAUAUUCACAAACCCACAUCCAACAUUAGUCAGACUGACAAUUCACAAAUGUCUGAACCAGUCAUGACCCUUAACCUUUUAAAGUAUAAUGCCUCUCCUUUCACACAGUUACCAUGUAUAUCUCUUGUAGUUAAUGGGCAAAGUGGCACUUUUUUGGUAGAUUCAGGAGCAACGUAUUCAGUGAUAAAACACUGCGAAUUAAAAGAAUCCCUGAAAAUGAGUUCACGGUCGCUGCGCUCCAUGGGUGUAACAGGACAUUCAGUAUUAGAACGUUUCUCUGAACCGCUAGUUUGUGAAUAUUAAAAUGGGAAAAGAGUAAACUACCAAUUCCUAAUUUUGUCUUCAUGUCCAGUCAAUCUACUGGGCAGGGACUUAAUGUGUGUUUUACACUUAAAUUUGAUCUCCUCACCUCAGGGAGUAACAGAAACUGACGACUCAUCUUUGGGAACUCCGUUUGUUAAAGAAAGAGUGCUCUGUGUUUAUCAAUGGUCCAUGCAUAACAAGCCUAGAGCCUGUUCUCGUUUGUUGACAGGUUAACCUGGAUGUAAUAUGUCAUGACAAGGGAAUGUUUCUGAACCUUGGGACAAACCCCACACCCCUAGAGAUACACCCACAAUAGAACAAGGUGCCUCUCAGGCUGGGGGCCCAAGGGAAACAUGACGUAGGCCUGAUUAGAAGUGCACCACCAGUCGUGAUCACGCCCAAAUCUGACUUUAGGCCCAGACAAUCUCAAUACCCUCUUAAAUCAGAAGCUAGUGAGGGAAUUAGGCCAGUAUUUAACUCACUACUAAAAGCAGGGGUCAUUGUUCCCUGCCCGGAUUCGUCAGUGCGCACUACAAUAUUUCCAGCAUAAGAAGCACAAAAAAAACCAAAAAAACAAACCCUACCACGUGAUGAAUGGACAUUUGUAGAAGAUUUGUAAGCGGUUAAUGCAGCAGUAAAAUAGAGAGCUCCAGACGUGCCAAAUCCUUACACUACAUUACGCCAAGUGCCAGCAAAUAGCGAAUGGUUUUCAGUCGUAGAUUUAGCUAAUGCGUUUUUUUCAGUACAUCUCUUGAUAAAGACAGUUUGGGUUUGCAUUCAUAUUUAACGGACGUCCUUACACUUUCACCCGCUCGUGUUGGGGGUAUUGAGAGUCACUAACGAUAUACAACCAAAUGCUAAAGGACAGCUUAGCACCUCCACCACGUUCUCCAGGGCACAGUGUGAAACUGACACCAUUAAUUUGUUGCAGAAUCUCGCCAAAGAAGGACACAAAGCCAGUCCCUCCAAAUUACAGUAUGUACAACAAGAAGUGAGAUUUCUAAGGCAUGACAUUUCUGCAAAGGGAAAGAAAAUCUCAGCCGAAUGAGUAUCUGCAAUCCAGAAGAUUCCCAAGCCUCGGACGAAGAAACGGGUUCUAUCUAUCCUAGGCAUGUGUUCGUAUCGCAGAACUUUCAUUCUAAACUAUUCCAGUCUAGAAGCACCGCUCAGAGAGAUGGCAUAUGCGACAGGUUGGACAGCUCAUUCUCGGGAAAGUUGGAUCCAGUCGCUGCAGGGUUUCCCCCGUGUGUACGUGCAGUAGCAGCAGCUGAGAAAGCUGUGGUGGCAUCCAGAGACCUGGGCAAGAGAGAAAAAAAAAGCGGUUGGUGAGGGGCCGACUGUUUAUAACUGCUAUACCUAAGAGGAACAAAACACUUUGGGGUAGCUACAGUAACUCGGCUUCAUCACACCCACCCUGCUGCUGAUGAUUUUCCUGUAGCGGCACGACACACACGUGAUUUAUUCCGAUGAAAUGAAUGUGUCUGAGACAUGUGCAAUCCAGAUUUUAAAUUAGGGGGAGGAGGUGAACGGAAGGUUUAGAGAGAUCAUAAGACUCAUGAACACCACACACACACACACACACACACACACACACACACACACACACACACACAUUGUGAUACAUUACAGCUUUCUGCAAUGUGGACCUGACUAACAUGUUUAUCAUGGUUACAGCCCUGUAUAGUUACAAUAUAGAUAUACAGUUAAAGAGACAUUUCAGUUCCCUUUGAAGCUUCCAAAAGGCAAGUCUUGACCUGUCCAAGUAGGAGUCUUUGUUACGUCAGUGGAAGUUCAGGACGCUUUGAUCGUCACGUGAUGCGUGGAGACUUCAGAUAGAUCCCGGAAACAGGGCAAGAGACAGGAGACUAUCAGCGAUUGUCGACUGACUGCACAAUGGGCUAGCAUGAUGCUAAGUGUGCUGUCUUAGAAAGUCCAUUGCAAAUAAGUGAAAGGCAAAUUUUAAUUAACCUUAAUGUUUACAAUUCUCAUGCAGCCCUGCACGUAUUAAAAUAUACAUGAAUAGAUCAUAUAUUCCGAUGGAAAAACAACUUAAAACACACGUUUAUACACAUAUUAUCAUAUAUAUUUGAUGUCUUUUGACUUAUGCUAUGCACUCAUUUACAGCAACGGAUUUAGAAAUAAAUUUCGAAUAAACUGAA